AUUGAACGCUGGCGGCAGGCCUAACACAUGCAAGUCGAGCGAGCGGCGGACGGGUGAGUAAUGUCUGGGAAACUGCCUGAUGGAGGGGGAUAACUACUGGAAACGGUAGCUAAUACCGCAUACCAUCAGAUGUGCCCAGAUGGGAUUAGCUAGUGGGUGGGGUAAUGGCUCACCUAGGCGACGAUCCCUAGCUGGUCUGAGAGGAUGACCGGCCACACGGGAACUGAGACACGGUCCAGACUCCUACGGGAGGCAGCAGGAGGGAAUCUUGCACAAUGGGCGCAAGCCUGAUGCAGCCAUGCCGCGUGAGUGAAGAAGGCCUUCGGGUUGUAAAGCACUGUCAGCGGGGAGGCGUUACUCGCAGAAGAAGCACCGGCUAACUCCGUGCCAGCAGCCGCGGUAAUAC
rnacentral:rRNA from 1 species